rnacentral:lncRNA from 1 species
CAGAAGUUUAAGGAUAUCCUUGGCUAUAUAAGAAAGCUGCAGAUCAGCCUGGGCUAGAAAACACUUGAAUAGAACAAAGCAAAGCAACAUUCUGCUCGUGAUUUUCGUCUUAACCUGUCUUGACUCCCUUCUCCUGGGGAGUAGGAGCCUAGGGUAAAUUAAGACCAUGGCAGUAGGAGUCGAUCCCAUCUUAACUAUCACAGUAGUUAAGGCACAGUAGAAUCAAAACGUGCUUGCCCUGUCUGUCAUUGCCUAACCCCUCACACCUGAUGAGAAAUCAACUUGAUUCCUCACGAAGACCCACAUAAGGACCUCGGCUCUGACCAGGGCAGGUUUCUACAUCUCCCCCCAAGGAACCCAAGAUCUGACAAUCUCACUAGGUCUGCAGUGACCUGCGUUGGCUGUGUCCCCCUAUUUAGAGUCAGUGCAGCACAGCGAGCAGAGGCCCAUGCUUGGAUCCUUAGCUGAGCUGAGCGAGUGGCUCACUUAGUCCCCUUUUUAAAACCAGGUGAGGCUCUGGGGCCAAGUCAUGGGCCGUAUGCCUCCCCAUGACCCUCCUUUUAAAGGAACCUAAUAAUGCCUUAAUCGUGUGUGAUAGGCACCUGUGUCCCCCUCCCCCAACCCUCCCUCCUGGUGACUGGAUGUUUGCAGAGUCUCACAUACGCCUCCAUCUUCUCUAUGCCCAUCAGCAUUUUGACAUCUGACCUUUGGGUACGCCCCUCCCACCCAGUAGAUAGGCAUUCUCCUGCAUAGUCUGUGGCCUCAUACACGGAGGCCUUUGCCCUGCGAAAUGGCGUGGCAGGAUGCUCUCGGGCAUCCUCAGCUCCAAUGGAGAAACUGGGUGGUCCUGGGGAGUAGGAGCCUAGUGUAAAAAUUAUCUCACGCCCCCCGGGUUGGACUCAGGGGCAGACGGGAUCAGAGGAGUUUAUAGGGUAGGGGAGCAGGCAAAAGGUUCCAUCAGAUGCCUAUUUUCCUUCUACAAUACUGCCCCCUGCAGGAAGCAGCUGUUAAAGCAAAGUCAUCAAUUUAGCUGCUGAGCAGGGAUUGGAAAAAACACUCCUGUGAUUUCCAAAGGAAACGCAGCGAGUCCUGGUGCGUGUAUGUUGGGGGGGCGUGGGGGUAAGGACUGCUGUCAAUCCUGGCUUUACAGCCACUCAUUCUGGAUCUAGGCUUGACUGAAAAGUGGAAAGCCACCCACCUCUUAAUAUCCAGCCCUGGCGAAUCAUUUGGGCGACAGAGACGCUGUGCCCUCCAAAUGUGCCUUUGCCCUGUCGACAGGAAACGGAUCUCCAAAUACCCAGGUUCCCCACAUUGCUGGGGACUAGCAGGAUCCACUCAGCAUCUCUGAGUUUGCCUUGGCCUCAAGCCCCUCAGUGAGAGAGGACUUCCAUUGACAUUUCCGGAAGGUCACAUUCCAGAAGCCCGAAGCCGUGAAGAAGGCAAGAGGACAGGGCUUCCCCUGUCCCUGUCCCUAUCAUACCCUAGAGCAUCCUUUUGUUUCUGUGGCUCCCACAGUGAAGGACACCUCAUAGCCUGCAUCCUUUACCCCUCAAGAGUCCCCUUCAGCUGUUUAUGUCACCUGUGCUGCGACAAUCCCUGGCAGCAUCGAGCCAGCUAGAAAUCUGCUUCUUAAAUGUCGUCCCGUGUCGCCUUACAGAUUCUGCUCGAUGGCGCUCACAGAGGUUGUAAUGUUGGUCUACAGAAGGCGUUUGUACCAAAUCGUUUCUUAACUCUGCUAGAGUGAUCACGGCCCUCAACACGCUUUGUAUGCUGGGGUGGGGGAAUGGAAUUAUAUAUGUGAAUAGGAUAUAUUUUUCCUAACAGUUCACUCUGGGUCCUACCUGGGAUGUUCGCAUCACGACAGGGAAGGACUCACAAGGUGCGCAUCCUGUCUGCAGCAUUCCGACAGCUGCCUUACCAACCCACAAGCUGCAGGACUUCUGAAUGAAGGCAGAUGGUGCGCACCACGGCCAGUCCCAGGAAGAACCUAACUUCGUGACCGAUAAUUCAUCUUUAAAAAAAAAAAAAACAACUAUAUUUUUACUGUCAAAACGAAUGGGCUUCCCGGACGUUGCGGUGACCGGAUGCCCCCUGUGCUUUUAUAUUUUGUCACUGUAAGAGGUUUUCUGGCACAGACAAGCAAGUCAGGAAUCCAGCUGACUGCACUAAAUGGGGUGAACUCUGCAUGUGCAAAGGGGGCACACCCAGACUCCAGAAAUAGUAAAUAAAGCUUUCCUGUCAAUGAUGACUCUAA